rnacentral:rRNA from 1 species
CAGCCGCCGCGGUAAUACGUAGGGGGCGAGCGUUGUCCGGAAUGAUUGGGCGUAAAGGGCGCGUAGGCGGCUUUGCAAGUCAGUAGUGGAAGUCCAUUUUUCAAGGAUGGAAGUGCUACAGAAACUGCGGAGCUUGAGUGCAGGAGAGGUUAUCGGAAUUCCCGGUGUAGCGGUGAAAUGCGUAGAGAUCGGGAGGAACACCAGUGGCGAAGGCGGGUAACUGGACUGCAACUGACGCUGAGGCGCGAAAGUGUGGGGAGCAAACAGGAUUAGAUACCCUGGUAGUCCACACUGUAAACGAUGAAUGCUAGGUGUAGGAGGUAUCGACCCCUUCUGUGCCGCAGUAAACACAGUAAGCAUUCCGCCUGGGGAGUACGGUCGCAAGAUUAAAACUCAAAGGAAUUGACGGGGGCCCGCACAAGCAGCGGAGCAUGUGGUUUAAUUCGAAGCAACGCGAAGAACCUUACCAGGUCUUGACAUCCAGUUAAACUUGUAGAGAUAUGAGGUCCCUUCGGGGGAACUGAGACAGGUGGUGCAUGGCC